UACAGAGGGUGCAAGCGUUAAUCGGAAUUACUGGGCGUAAAGGGUGCGUAGGCGGUUAUGUAAGUCGGGUGUGAAAGCCCCGGGCUCAACCUGGGAAUUGCAUUCGAGACUGCAUAGCUAGGGUGCGGAAGAGGGAAGCGGAAUUUCCGGUGUAGCGGUGAAAUGCGUAGAUAUCGGAAGGAACACCAGUGGCGAAAGCGGCUUCCUGGUCCAGCACCGACGUUCAGGCACGAAAGCGUGGGGAGCAAACAGG
rnacentral:rRNA from 1 species